rnacentral:rRNA from 1 species
UACGGAGGGUGCGAGCGUUAAUCGGAAUUACUGGGCGUAAAGCGUGCGCAGGCGGUUUGUUAAGCGAGAUGUGAAAGCCCCGGGCUCAACCUGGGAACCGCAUUUCGAACUGGCAAACUAGAGUCUUGUAGAGGGGGGUAGAAUUCCAGGUGUAGCGGUGAAAUGCGUAGAGAUCUGGAGGAAUACCGGUGGCGAAGGCGGCUUCCUGGCCCGUUACUGACGCUGAGGCACGAAAGCCAGGGGAGCGAACCGG